rnacentral:rRNA from 1 species
UACGGAGGAUGCGAGCGUUAUCCGGAUUUAUUGGGUUUAAAGGGUGCGUAGGCGGGUUAUCAAGUCAGCGGUAAAAUCGUGGAGCUCAACUCCAUCCAGCCGUUGAAACUGAUGAUCUUGAGUGGGCGAGAGUAUGCGGAAUGCGUGGUGUAGCGGUGAAAUGCAUAGAUAUCACGCAGAACUCCGAUUGCGAAGGCAGCAUACCGGCGCCCGACUGACGC